UACGGAGGGGGCGAGUGUUGUUCGGAUUUACUGGGCGUAAAGGGCGCGUAGGCGGCCUGGCAAGUCGGGUGUGAAAUCCCUUGGCUUAACUGAGGAAUGGCGCUCGAAACUACCUCGCUGGAGGGCGGGAGAGGGAAGUGGAACUCUCGGUGUAGGGGUGAAAUCUGUAGAUAUCGAGAGGAACACCGGUGGCGAAGGCGGCUUCCUGGCCCGUACCUGACGCUGAGGCGCGAAAGCGUGGGGAGCAAACAGG
rnacentral:rRNA from 1 species